GACAACGUGGCCGAGCGGUUAAGGCGAUUGACUAGAAUGUGCCAAUUCUAAGACUCUUGUCUACCAUCAAUUGGGAUUUUCCCGCGUAGGUUCAAAUCCUGCCGUUGUCG
rfam:Puccinia graminis f. sp. tritici CRL 75-36-700-3 supercont2.41 genomic scaffold, whole genome shotgun sequence.